rnacentral:rRNA from 1 species
CCUACGGGAGGCAGCAGUGGGGAAUUUUGCACAAUGGGGGAAACCCUGAUGCAGCGACGCCGCGUGAGUGAAGAAGUAAUUCGUUAUGUAAAGCUCUAUCAGCAGGGAAGAAAAUGACGGUACCUGAGUCAGAAGCCCCGGCUAACUACGUGCCAGCAGCCGCGGUAAUACGUAGGGGGCAAGCGUUAUCCGGAUUUACUGGGUGUAAAGGGAGCGUAGACGGCAGUGCAAGUCUGGAGUGAAAGGCGGGGGCUCAACCCCCGGACUGCUCUGGAAACUGUACGGCUGGAGUGCAGGAGAGGUAAGUGGAAUUCCUGGUGUAGCGGUGAAAUGCGUAGAUAUUAGGAGGAACACCAGUGGCGAAGGCGGCUUACUGGACUGUAACUGACGUUGAGGCUCGAAAGCGUGGGGAGCAAACAGGAUUAGAUACCCUAGUAGUC